AACAGGGUGACACCCCUGUGAAGCAGCUGAUUAUGGCCCUGCUGAGGACCCCUUUGUACAAACGAUCUCCCCACCUCCAAGGCCAGAGGCUCUCCAGACGAUGCUGAGUCUGCUCUAUGCAGAGAAAUGGGGCCCCACACCAUGGAUGCCAGACCAGGAGUCACAGCCCUGUAAGCAGCAGAGGAUAAGAAAAGUCCUCUGGCCAAAAACUAGUGGCUCAAGGUGGGCAGGAAGACUAUGCAGUCAAAGUGGACUCUGGACUUCAGACUCACACAUUCUGCCCAAUUUUAAGGAAUAGAUAAUACCUAUGUUAUUUAAAUUGCUCCAGAAUAUAGGAAAAGAAAAGGGGAAAAAAGACAUCCUAACUCAUUGUUCAAGAUUAUUGUAUUCCUGCUACUCAAACCUGGAGAGAAUACUACAAACAAACAACAAAAACAAAAAAAACUGGAGACCAUUCUCAUAUGUAGAUGUAAAAUCCAUACUAAAAUUUAAUAAAUCCAGCAAUGUACUAAAAAAAAAACAGGGUCCUGCGUUGUUGCCCAGGCUGGAGU